UACGAAGGGAGCUAGCGUUGUCCGGAAUCAUUGGGCGUAAAGAGCGUGUAGGCGGUCCGGUAAGUCCGCUGUGAAAGUCGGGGGCUCAACCCUCGAAUGCCGGUUGAUACUGUCGGGCUAGAGUGCGGAAGAGGCGAGUGGAAUUCCUGGUGUAGCGGUGAAAUGCGCAGAUAUCGGGAGGAACACCAGUAGCGAAGGCGGCUCGCUGGGCCGUUCCUGACGCUGAGACGCGAAAGCUAGGGGAGCGAACAGG
rnacentral:rRNA from 1 species